GGCCUCAUACAUGCAAGUCGAGCGGUCCUUCGGGACAGCGGCGAACGGGUUAGUAACGCGUGGGAACGUGCCCUUUAGUACGGAAUAGCCAUUGGAAACGAUGAUUAAUACCGUAUACGCCCCAAGGGGGAAAGAUUUAUCGCUAAAGGAUCGGCCCGCGUUAGAUUAGGUAGUUGGUAGGGUAAUGGCCUACCAAGCCGACGAUCUAUAGCUGGUUUGAGAGGAUGAUCAGCAACACUGGGACUGAGACACGGCCCAGACUCCUACGGGAGGCAGCAGUGGGGAAUAUUGGACAAUGGGGGCAACCCUGAUCCAGCAAUGCCGCGUGUGUGAUGAAGGCCUUAGGGUUGUAAAGCACUUUCACUGGUGAAGAUUAUGACGGUAACCAGAGAAGAAGCCCCGGCUAACUUCGUGCCAGCAGCCGCGGUAAUACGAAGGGGGCGAGCGUUGUUCGGAAUUACUGGGCGUAAAGGGAGCGCAGGCGGUUCAUUUAGUCAGACGUGAAAGCCCCGGGCUCAACCCGGGAGGUGCGUUUGAUACUGGUGAGCUAGAAAUCAGAAGAGGAUAGUGGAAUUUCCAG
rnacentral:rRNA from 1 species